AUCUGUCGGGGAAGGGUGAGAACCUUCGAUUAAGGUUCGACUCGAGCGAAAGCGAGAGAACGUUGCCGUCAGGCGACGGCCCGAAGGGUGAGGAGCGAAGCGACGAAUAAUCCUUCCCCCACCACCA
rnacentral:sRNA from 1 species